AAACAACUCUCGGCAACGGAUAUCUCGGCUCUCGCAUCGAUGAAGAACGAAGCGAAAUGCAAUACUUGGUGUGAAUUGCAUAAUCUCGUGAACCAUCGAGUCUUUGAACGCAAGUUGCACCCAAAGCCAUUAGGCCGAGGGCACGUUUGCCUGGGUGUCACGCAU
rnacentral:rRNA from 1 species